rnacentral:rRNA from 1 species
CACGUAGGAGGCAAACGUUAUCCGGAUUUAUUGGGCGUAAAGCGCGUGUAGGUGGUUCUGUAAGUAGGGCGUGAAAGCUCCUGGCUCAACCGGGAGAGGCCGUUCUAUACUGCAGAGCUAGAGGAUGGUAGAGGGAGGUGGAAUUCCAGGUGUAGCGGUGGAAUGCGCAGAUAUCUGGAGGAACACCAGUGGCGAAGGCGGCCUCCUGGACCAUUCCUGACACUCAGACGCGAAAGCUAGGGUAGCAAACGGGAUUAGAUACCCGUGUAGU